AGCCCCGCCGAGCUCCAGGCCACGCCCGUGUCUGAGCCACGCCCCGCUCCAGGCCACGCCCUCCGCUGGUAGGAUCUCUAUUUCGCCUUGGGCGAACUCGGUGUAACGUUGUGGAGCAAAGUACUGUGUGCCCAGGCCUCCAACCGCGUGCCCUACCUCCUCUGCCUUUGGUGGCAAGGUUACACGUCCCGGGAGACCACCUCCUCUAACCUGCUGAAGGUGAGAAUCGGGCCUAAGUGUCGUGGGUGGCCGUGUGAGUGACAACCCAAAGGCUUCCUGAGGAAGCAGAGCUAAAACCAGGGCUUGGCUGAGAGGAGUGUGAUCCAACAGGCCGUGAGGGGAUCCAGACAUGGGGGCAGGUGGCUUCCGGAUCCUGAAAUCAUUAUGCUGAUCAGAUUCACUCAUUCAAAACUAAAAUGGCAGCUAUCGUAGACGAUUCUCCGACUCACACAGAACAACACCUAUGCAGUCUUUCUCUGGAGCAUUCUUCUCCCCUCCACACCAAGAUUUCAACGUUUUCUCACAGGAUCACAAUGGCCUCUAUUCUGAUCAGCCAGACGGAACUUUCCUACCAAGGCAUCCGGAGAUUUGAGAUUGCCAGGACUGUGAGGAGCAACUCAAAUGACAGCGACUGAGAUCUACAGGACUUGAAAGUGCAGACUCUGGACUGAGAUUCUAAUUCCACAGGACUGAGCGGCACAGGGAUCAGCACUUUUAACAUUGAUGUGGGUGGCCUUCGGGUCACGGUUGAGAAACUCUUAAGUUCGAACUUGAAGUUUGCCACCUAGCAGGGGGGAAAAAACAUGAUUAAUAAUAAAACAAAACCAAGCCAAUGGGAAGGAUAAUGCGCUAUACCUGGAGCUGGAUUUCUUCCCUUGGCUGAUGAGAGAUCUUU
rnacentral:sRNA from 1 species